rnacentral:rRNA from 1 species
CCUGGUUGAUCCUGCAGUAGUCAUAUGCUUGUUUCAAAGAUUAAGCCAAUGCAUGUGGUAGUUGAAUGAACUAAUUCAGACUGUGAAACUGCGAUAGGCUCAUUAAAUCUAGUUAUAAGUUUUGGUUUUGAUGGUUCUGCUACUCGGAUAACGCGUAGUAAUUCUAGAGCUAAUACUGUGCAACAAACCCCGAACUUCCUGGAAGGGAUGCAUUUUUAGUUGAAUAAAAGGUCGACGGCGGGCUCUGCCCGUUGCUUCUGAUGAUUUCCAUGAUAACUCCGACGGAUCGCACGGCCAAUUCGUGCCGGCGAGCGCAUCAUUCAAAUUUUGCCCUAUCAAUUUCGAUGGUAGGAUAGACGGCCUACAUGGUGGUUGACUGGGUGCACGGAGAUUAGGGUUCGGAUUCCGGAAGAAGGGAGCUUGAGAAACGGCUACCACAUCCAAGAAGGCAGCAGGCGCGCAAAUUACCCAAUCCUGACAACGGGAGGGUAGUGACAAUAAAUAACAAUACCGGGCUCUUCGAGUCUGGUAAUUGGAAAUGAGUACAAUCUAAAUCCUUAACGGAGGAUCCAUUGGAGGGCAAGCUCUGGAUGCCAGCAGCCGCGGUAAUUCCAGCUCCAAUUAGCGUAUAUUUAAGUUGUUGCAAGUUAAAAGCUCGUAGUUGGACCUUGGUUGGGUCGACCGGUCCGCCUCGCGGGUGUGCACUCUGUCGGCUCGUCCCUUCUGCCGGCGAUAGCGCUCUGCCUUAACUGGCGACGGUCGUUGCCUCCGGCGCUGUUACUUUGAAGAAAUUAGAGUGCUCAAAGCAAGCCUACGCUCUGGGAUACAUUAGCAUGGGAUAGACAUCAUAAGGAUUUCGGUCUAUUGUGGUUGGCCUUCGGGAUCGGAGUAAUGAUUAACAGGGACCGUCGGGGGCAUUCGGUAUUUCCAUAGUCAGAGGUGAAAAUUCUUGGAUUUAUGAAAGACGAACACUGCGAAAGCAAUUUGCCAAGGAUGUUUUCAUUAAUCAAGAACGAAGUUGGGGGCGUCGAAGACGAUGCAGAUACCGUCCUAAAGUCUCAACCAUAACGAUGCGACCAGGGAUCGGCGGAUUUGUUGCUUUUUAGGACAUCCGCCGGCACCUUAUGAGAAAUCAAAAGCUUUGGAGGUUCCGGGGGAGUAAUGGUCGCAAGGCUGAAACUUAAGGAAAAUUGAACGGAAGGCACCACACAAGGAGUGGAGCCUGCGGCUUAAUUUGACUCAAACACGGGGGAAAACUUAGCCAGGUCCAGACAUAGUAAGGAUUGACAGACUGAGAGCUCUUUCUUGAUUCUUAUGGGUGGUGGUGCAAUGGCCGUUCUUAGUUGGUGAGCGAGUUUGUCUGGUUUAUUCCGCGUUAACGAAACGAGACCCUCAAGCCUGCUAACUUAGCUUAUGGCGGAGGUGACCCUCCGAAGGCCAGCUUCUUUAGAGGGACUAUGGCCUUUUAAGCAAAGGAAGUUUGAGAAUAACAGGUCUGUGAUGCCCUUAGAUGUUUCUGGUCCGCUACAGCGCGCUACACUGAUGUAUUAACGAGUCUAUAGGCCUUGGCCGACAGGCCGCGGGUAAUCUUUGAAAUUUCAAUCGUGAUGGGGAUAAGAUCACUUUGCAAUUGUUGGUCUUCAACGAGGAUUCCUAGUAAGCGCGUAGUCACUCAGCUCGCUGUUGACUACGUCCUGCCCUUGUGUACAACACCGCCGCGUCGCUUUCCUCCGAUUGGAAUGGUCCGGUGAAUGUGCUUCGGGCAUCCGGCGGCGACGUGGGCGGUUCGCCCGCCGGGCGAGUCCGCGAGAAGGUCCGCGUGAACCUGUGAGUCAUUUAGAAGGAAGGAGAAGUCGUAACAAGGUUUCUCGUAGGUGAACCUGCGGAAG